rnacentral:lncRNA from 1 species
UUUGGCUGCGCCGGCCUCUGCCAGCGCUGAAAGGGACCUGGGAGGUUGAGGCAGCCUCGGCUGCGCCCACCUUCGGGGUCGAUGGUCCCCUCUCCUCGGUUGACGGAGUAGCGCUAGCUGCAACCACCGCGGGGGCAGACGGCGUAACUGCCGACUCACUGACUGUGGGUCGGACAGCCGCCGGAAGCCUUUGUGUCGCUGCCCCCUGACGCGUCACAUCGGCAAAGCUUUUCUUGGGCAGGACCGCAAGUACGCGGCAUGUUCCGCAUCACAGUUCACGCAGUGGAGAGAGUUCUCACAAGCUUCAGAGGUGUGUUCGUGGGCACUGCAUUUCGCACAGGUUUGGCGGCCUCGGCAGCUCUGCGAGCUGUGGCCGAAACGUUGACAUUUGAAGCAUCUCAGGGGGUUUGGCACAUAUGGCCUAACACGAAGCUUUAUGUACCCGGCCUCUACAGACUCGGGCAGAAUACUUGAGCCGAAAGUCAAUAUAAGGUGUUUGGUCUUGA